rnacentral:rRNA from 1 species
UACGGAGGGUGCAAGCGUUAUCCGGAUUCACUGGGUUUAAAGGGAGCGUAGGCGGGUCAAUAAGUCAGUGGUGAAAGCCCUAAGCUUAACUUGGGAAUUGCCAUUGAUACUGUUGAUCUUGAGUGCGGUUGAAGUGGGCGGAAUAUGACAUGUAGCGGUGAAAUGCUUAGAUAUGUCAUAGAACACCGAUUGCGAAGGCAGCUCGCUAAACCGUAACUGACGCUGAGGCUCGAAAGCGUGGGGAGCAAACAGG